rnacentral:tRNA from 1 species
GGGGAUGUAGUUCAAUGGAAAAGUGCUUACCUAGCAUGUGAGGGACCCUGGGUUCUAUUCUCAGCACUGCCA